rnacentral:rRNA from 1 species
CCUGACGGUAGUCGUAUGCUCGUCUCCGAGACUAAGCCAUGCAAGUCCAAGUACACGUCCUUGAACGACGGAAACUGCGAACGGCUCAUUAAAUCAGUUGCGAUCUACUCGGCGUUCCGCGCCGCCGGAUAACCGUAGUAAUUCUAGGGCUAAUACGUGCGAAGCGCCCGAAGCCGCGAGGCGACGGGCGUUCUCGCCGGAUGUAGGAACCGACCCGGGGGACCCGCCGGGGCAACCCGGCGCCCCCGAGACGGGGCGAACCACGGUGAAAUGACGGAUCGUCGGCCCCGCGCCGGCGACUCGCCGAAUGAGUUUCUGACCUAUCAACUCGAGACGGCGGGGUAGAGGCCCGCCGCGGUAACGACGGGUAACGGGGAAUCAGGGUUCGAUUCCGGAGAGGGAGCCCGAGAAACGGCUACCACUUCCAAGGAAGGCAGCAGGCGCGCAACUUACCCUAAUCUCGAUUCGAGGAG